ACUCCUACGGGAGGCAGCAGUGGGGAAUUUUGGACAAUGGACGCAAGUCUGAUCCAGCCAUUCCGCGUGCAGGAUGAAGGCCCUCGGGUUGUAAACUGCUUUUGUACGGAACGAAAAGGUCUCUAUUAAUACUGGGGGCUCAUGACGGUACCGUAAGAAUAAGCACCGGCUAACUACGUGCCAGCAGCCGCGGUAAUAC
rnacentral:rRNA from 1 species